rnacentral:rRNA from 1 species
UAACUUUGAGCGGGUGGNCACUCGG